CUGAAACACGGACCAAGGAGUCUAGCAUGUGCGCGAGUCAUUGGGAAUUCUUAUUAAACCCAGAGGCGCAAUGAAAGUGAAAGGCGGGGCCUCGCGCCCCGCCGCGAGGGAAGAUGCGUGGGCGCCUCAGCGCGCUCCACCGCAUUCCCGAGGCGUUUCUAGAAAGUCACCGUGCGAUUAUCGAGACGCACUGAGAGCGUACACGCYGGGACCCGAAAGAUGGUGAACUAUGCCUGGUCAGGUCGAA
rnacentral:rRNA from 1 species